AUACGUAGGGAGCGAGCGUUGUCCGGAAUUACUGGGUGUAAAGGGUGCGUAGGCGGGACUGCAAGUCAGAUGUGAAAUGCCGGGGCUCAACCCCGGAGCUGCAUUUGAAACUGUGGUUCUUGAGUGAGGUAGAGGUAAGCGGAAUUCCUAGUGUAGCGGUGAAAUGCGUAGAUAUUAGGAGGAACAUCGGUGGCGAAGGCGGCUUACUGGGCCUUUACUGACUCUGAGGCACGAAAGCGUGGGGAGCAAACAGGAUUAGAUACCCUGGUAGUCCACGCUGUAAACGAUGAAUGCUAGGUGUAAGAGGUAUCGACCCCUUUUGUGCCGGAGUCAACACAAUAAGCAUUCCGCCUGGGGAGUACGGCCGCAAGGUUGAAACUUAAAGGAAUUGACGGGG
rnacentral:rRNA from 1 species